CCCCCAACAGCCUUGGUGCAAAUGACUAGGAAAGACAAUUCAGAAACAUUGAAGAGGGGGAAAGACUAAUGAACCAUGACAAGAUACAGAUGGAGGGUGGGUAUAUAUGCAAAGGAUACUUCAAAGUUGAUUCGCCUCCAUUUUUGCACAACUCACCAACACAAAAUGCAGCAUUCCUUCUAUUGGUGGCCUCUGAUGAUGCUAGUUCUUUUAGCACUAAGGGCAUUAUCCUAUCAACAUAGCCUGCUAUUGGAGCACCCAUAUCCUGAGCAACUUCAGCAAGGCAAGCAACAACCAUAGUUCGAUCUUGUGGAGGGCGUGAAGAUUUCGCAAAUUUCAUCAAAGGUUCAAAUAGAUUGACAAAGAUUGGUGCAAAAUGUGCACCCAUAGAUUUUGCAAAUGCAGGAAGAAGGUCAGAAACUGCAUCCAUAAGCACUUCAUCAUGUUCAGUAUCAGCAUCAUCAAUGUCACUAUCAUUAUCUGAUUGCUGACAAGCUGAUUCCUCUCUAAGCAAUAUCAAAGUUGCAUCAAUAAGCUGAGACAUAUAAGGUUCAAGAACCAUGAAACCAUAAUCCUUAAAAAUGUCUGCUAUACUCAUGCAAGCUUGAGCAACAACUUCCUUGUCAUCAUCUUCAGUCAUAGUCUUGAUAUAAAUUCGCAUCACAUUAUCAAGAACUUCUCGUGCCUUUGCUGCUCCCUCAUUAUGACUUUGGAAGAUUGCAUACGCUGCUGUCAAAAUAUAUUUUAAAGCAAUGAUUGCCUGAAGCCGAACAUCUUCAUGAAAAUAACCUGAAUGUCUUACCAAAAUCUUUAAUGACUCCUCAAAAUAGGGUGUGUAAGCAGUCUUUGUGUGCAGUGCAAACAAGCCAAGUGCUUGAGUUGCAGCUGCCUUUUCAUCCAAUACUCCUGUUCUUAUACUGAUAUUUCGAACUCUCGGCUCAUCAUGAGCUUCAUCAUCAGAUGACACUCCACCAAAGCCACUAAUAUUUUCAUCAUCAGAUUCAUCAAUAUCCACUGCAGAGCCAUCAUCAAGAUUGCAGGAUAAGAAUGCCAGGGGUACAACGUGAGGAAGAUACUGUGUAAAGCUCUCAUCCAAAAUUUCAGCUACAUUGCUAAAGAAUCCAUGAGUAUACUCCCGAAGCUCACUGAACUCCAAGCUGAAACCAGAAAUUGCAGCUUCCAUAAAAGGGGGUAAAAUUGGUUCCAUCCUUGUUCUUCCAACAGACAUUGCAACUAUUCCAACAAGCUCAGUGGCCCUUGCUCGUGAUCGAAGAUCCUCGUCAUUUGUGAGUACCAUGAAAGAUUUCAUCAACUCCAGAACCCUUUCAGCAUAUGGAAUGAAAGCUUGCUCUGCAGCUGAGGCAACUGAACCAAUUGAAGACAUGCAUGUUUCCUGCAGAUUACGGGGGCUAUUUUGAAGGGCUCCAAGUAGCUUCACCAUCAAAGGGUCAAGGAAAGGAAGAAUUUCUUCACCCAUGUUCUCACAAUAUGCAGCUAAAGCAUAGUAUGACUUCUCCUUUACUUCAUCAGAUACAUCCUCAAGGGCAUUUAAAAUGCAGGGAAGAACACUUUCAUAAUGAGAUACAAUUUCAGGCUGUAAAUGCUCAGCAAAUUGGCCCAAAGCAAAUGAGGCAGCCCCUCUAACCAUUUGUUCUGGAUCCCUCAAUGCUCCUAACACAAUAUGAAGGACAGGUUCCAUCUUAUCUUUCAUCAAGUCCAAACAACCCUCUGAAAUAACACCUAGAGCUGUAACAGAAGCUUCCCGAUUCUUGGGAUUUGUAUUCUGACUAUUAAUC
rnacentral:misc_RNA from 1 species